CAGGCCUUUAACCCCGCCCUACGCGGCGGGAUCCUGCCCUUUCUCUCCGUCUUCCUGCGAUCUCGCCGGAACAGCCGGUUCGCGCAGGCGCAGUUUGUGGACUUGAUCUGCUGUGCCUGUGUGAAGCUCCGAGUCUCACACUGUUGCCCAGGCUGGAGUACAGUGGCAUGAUCUUGGCUCACUGCAACCUCCACCUUCCUGGUUCAAGUGAUUGUCCUGCCUCAGCCUCCUUAGUAGCUGGCAUUACAGUGAAAGAGGACAAUCGAACUUGGUGUCAACUCAAGGGUUCAAGAAAGGGUGAAAAAAAUGAAUAGAAGGAAGUCUUCAUUCUGGAAAGGGACCCAUUUUGAAGUUCAGCUGUAGCAGACUAUUUUAUAAUUUUGUAUAAAAAUUAUAUCUUCAUAAUCAACUUGAUUAUUUGAUUUAUAAUGUAAAAAAGCAUAAUGUUUCUUAUGGUCUAUAAAUAACCACUUUUUUCAAGCGUGACAGAUUAAGUGAAAACAAAGGGAGUGAACAAAAGUGGGACGGUGUCAUGAAUUUGUAUCUGCCCUAAGGAAGAGGGCAGUACUUUUGGGGAGUGCAAUUUACAUGAGCAUCUGGGUCCUUUGUCAUGUUUUGGAUGGAUGACCUGAGUCUGAUAUAUUGAUGAAUAGCAUUAACAAAGGUCUGGUUGUCAAAGGCUAGGAAGAAAAAUGCAAUUAGCCACAGCAAUGAGGUUAUGUCUAUGUUUGGGGAUAAAGAACCAAUACCUAAAUGGCAGUGGAGAACACUGGAAUGAUACCAUUAGCAAAAGGCCAGAUUUGUGUGUGUGUGUGUGUGUGUGUGUGUGUGUGUGUAUACCUAUUAGAUAGUCAUCUUCACUCAGCAGGAUAUAGAAAAACGUCAUUUCUUUGACAAUGUUUGACUUAUGUAAUAAGAACAAAUAUGAACCUGUUACUAAAGAAAUGACCAAAUGAGCUUGAUGAAUUUAUAACUCAUAACACACUAAUUUCACCCACCUAACAUUUGUAAUUCUGUUUGUUUCUAUUUAAAUAAAAUUAGAAUUAAAUAAAGGGCAUUUGGAGCCUGAAAGAAGUUUGCUCUUUUUCAGUCUCAUUUUUUUUUUUCUGUAAACUAUGCGAUCCAGCAUAGAGAACCAUAUCUAAUCUCCCAAUUAGGUCAGGCCCCAGGAUAAUCAAUCUCCUUAACAGCAGAUGCCUUGUUUUAGCAAAUGAAUGCUUGGUUUCAAAAGUUUUGUGUUGAGAGAACACUGCAGUUGGCAUGGGUGAUUAGAACUCUUUUAAAUCCUAUAAAAAGCUUCUAUAGAUUGUUUUAUGCCCACAUUUUGUGAACUGAAGUAAAUGCUGUAUAUAUUUAUCUUCAAAUGAACAAUGAACAUGGUGGGGACUUUAUACAGCCUGUGAGGACAUCUAUAUGCAUAUAAAUGCAAUUAUUUGCAGUCUAAAAUGUUUAUGUCCAUUUAAAUUAAACUGUGUUUUUGAUAAAACUUAAAAUGCAUUUAUAUAUAUUUUGAGUAGGUGCUUUCAUAUUUAUGAAGUAUGCUCCUUAAUAACAAUAACUUAAUUAUUAGAAUAGCAUUGUUUGAACUGAAAAUAUAAUGACAAGUUAACAUGAUUUUCGUAUUUGUUGUUUGGACCACUUUAAAUUAGUUUUUAAGUGCCCUUCUUUCUAUCUGAUGCCUGCUCAGUUCAUACUUGUAGUUUGUGUUAAUGGGCAAUGUGUGAAAUAACUUUGAAACCAGUAAAAAAAAAUUUUUAAUUAAAUUUUAUAAACAAUGUAUAUUAAGUCAAAAUAAUAUGUUGACUUAGUUUGCUCAAAGCUUAUUUGAUAUAAGAUAAAUUGAAAUAUAAUGAAAUAAUUUUCUGGUAUAAUUUAAAAACCCUAAGCCUCAAUAAAUUAUUUUAGAUAAUCGUUGUUCAAAAUCUGAUUGCUGGAAUUUGUCAGUGAUACCCGAAUACAUAAAACACUUCAGAGGCUACAUAAAUACGUAUUUUCUUUUUUCUGGAGUGCUGAUUACAUAAUCGAAAGUUGAAACAUUUGCAAGGUAGGUGAGAAAAAAAGCAUUCGCCAGCAUAUUUUUGAUUUUAUCAUUUCAACUUUAUUGCAUAUGGUCUGUUCUGCCAGUUUUUGUCUCCUUCUAAAAGUGUUUCAAUCUGUUGAAUCUAUGGAAAGUUAAUAUUUUCCUUAGUGAAGGCUGAUAAGACAUCUGAGGAAAAAUUAAAAACAGAUGAUCUCUAAUUUAAGAAACAUUUGAUGCUAAUUACUUCUUACCUUUUCACACAAAUAUUGGUAAAUGUAUAGGAUCACAUUACUUUUAAAGUGAUAUUUUAAAGCUAAAUUCAUAGAGAUCCAGUGAGAUAAUUAGAUGUUUGUAUAAGAUUUUUAAAAUACAGACAUUCUUAGUCAUACAAAAAUACCAAAAGGCACUGUGACAAUCUACUUUUCCUUAUUCUAAUUUGUAACAGGAUUUUAAUAUGGUCAGUAGAAUGGCUUCAGCAUAUUUACAACCUUAAAGUUUUUAACUAGAAAACAGUUUGAUGUCUAGAUCUGUUACUCAGCUACAGUUUGGAUUUAAAACUUAAUUUGAUUAUUAUAGCAUGUAAGGCAGUUUACAUUUGAGUUAAUAAAAUUAACACUUAGCCUUUUAUGAUCGCUUUCUUACUCAGAUAUCAGUGGUUUUCAGAAUGCAAAGAUUUCUAAACUGAAAUUUCUUUCUUAUCAUGAUGCUCUCGUGGCUAAGUUUAUACUUGCAUUAUUUCAUCUUUACACACACACAGCAUAAUAUGACAAAAGAAAGUCUGAAAGAAAAUAUACCAAUACAUUGCUAUUUUUGGAUGGUGAAUAGAUUUGGGUGAUCUGUAGAACCUUCUUUAUUGUAUUAUACAGGCUUAACUUUUUAAUCAUUACUUUUUAAUUCAGUAGAGUAUGGCUAUUUUCAUUCUUAAAAACAUAUAUAUUAUAAUCCCAGUAUAGGUGAUAUAUUGUUUUCACAAAAAUUUUAUAAUAAAGGUUGAUGAUAAUUUUUUUUCCAUCCUCUUGAAUCUGUUAAAAUCUAAAAGAAAAAAAUAUCCUGUUAUUUCGUUGGCAUUACUAAUUUGUUCAUGGCGUUUUAUAAACCACUCAGCGGAGUUACAGUGUAAUAAUUGUAAACUGUAAGGGGUAUGUUAUGCUUAAAGGAUCCCAGGAUGAUCCAAAACAAACUGCAAACAUGGUAAACAGAAAUUGUACCUCUGCAGGAUCUCAGGACCCCUCUACACUGUUAAAAAUUAUUGAAGGCCCUUGCAAAGAACUUUGUGUAUGCAGGUUAUAUUAGUAUUUAUCAUAUUAGACAUUGAAACUGAUA